UGAUCAUAUCAGCUUGCAACACCGGUUCUCGUGAAAUUUCCGAAGUUAAGCAACGUUGAGCCUGGGAAAUAUGUAGAUGGGUGACCGAUUGGGAAUAACCAGUGCUGUAAG